GAUGAACGCUGGCGGCGUGCCUAACACAUGCAAGUCGAGCGUGAACCCUUAGAAUGAAACUUCGGUCGAAUGAAGAGGGGGAAAGCGGCGGACGGGUGAGUAACGCGUAGGCAACCUGCCCCGUACAGAGGGAUAGCCUCGGGAAACCGGGAUUAAAACCUCAUAAUACCAUGGUAUCACAUGAUGCAAUGGUCAAAGAUUUAUCGGUAUGGGAUGGGCCUGCGUCUGAUUAGCUGGUUGGUGGGGUAACGGCCUACCAAGGCAACGAUCAGUAGCCGACCUGAGAGGGUAAUCGGCCACAUUGGAACUGAGACACGGUCCAAACUCCUACGGGAGGCAGCAGUGGGGAAUAUUGCACAAUGGGCGAAAGUCUGAUGCAGCAACGCCGCGUGAGCGAAGAAGGCCUUUGGGUCGUAAAGCUCUGUCGGGAAGGAAGAUAAUGACGGUACUUCCCGAGGAAGCCCCGGCUAACUACGUG
rnacentral:rRNA from 1 species